rnacentral:rRNA from 1 species
ACGAACGCUGGCGGCGUGCUUAACACAUGCAAGUCGAACGGAAAGGCCCUGCUUUUGUGGGGUGCUCGAGUGGCGAACGGGUGAGUAACACGUGAGUAACCUGCCCUUGACUUUGGGAUAACUUCAGGAAACUGGGGCUAAUACCGGAUAGGAGCUCCUGCUGCAUGGUGGGGGUUGGAAAGUUUCGGCGGUUGGGGAUGGACUCGCGGCUUAUCAGCUUGUUGGUGGGGUAGUGGCUUACCAAGGCUUUGACGGGUAGCCGGCCUGAGAGGGUGACCGGCCACAUUGGGACUGAGAUACAGCCCAGACUCCUACGGGAGGCAGCAGUGGGGAAUAUUGCACAAUGGGCGGAAGCCUGAUGCAGCAACGCCGCGUGCGGGAUGACGGCCUUCGGGUUGUAAACCGCUUUCGCCUGCGACGAAGCGUGAGUGACGGUAAUGGGUAAAGAAGCACCGGCUAACUACGUG